CGAAUGGGUCCAAAGACUCUUAAAAACCUACCGUGCUCCCCUAUGUGGAAAACAGGAAAGCCCUCCGGGGCAUAGGAAAUCUGAGAAGUUGAGAACUGCGCCCCGGCGCAUGACUAAAACAAAAAAUUA
rnacentral:misc_RNA from 1 species